rnacentral:rRNA from 1 species
GAUGAACGCUAGCGGCAGGCUUAAUACAUGCAAGUCGAGGGACAGCACAGGUAGCAAUACUGGGUGGUAACCGGCAAACGGGUGCGGAACACGUACACAACCUUCCUUUAAGUGGGGGAUAGCCCAGAGCAAUUUGGAUUAAUACCCCGUAAUAUAGUUGAAUGGCAUCAUUUGAUUAUUAUAGCUACGGCGCUUAAUGAUGGGUGUGCGGCUGAUUAGAUAGUUGGCGGGGUAACGGCCCACCAAGUCUACGAUCAGUAGCUGAUGUGAGAGCAUGAUCAGCCACACGGGCACUGAGAAGCGGGCCCGACUCCUACGGGAGGCAGCAGUAAGGAAUAUUGGUCAAUGGACGCAAGUCUGAACCAGCCAUGCCGCGUGAAGGAUUAAGGUCCUCUGGAUUGUAAACUUCUUUUAUUUGGGACGAAAAAGGGCCUUUCUAGGUCAACUGACGGUACCAGAUGAAUAAGCACCGGCUAACUCCGUGCCAGCCGCCGCAGUAACAC